rnacentral:rRNA from 1 species
UUGGAGGGCAAGUCUGGUGCCAGCAGCCGCGGUAAUUCCAGCUCCAAUAGCGUAUAUUAAAGUUGUUGCAGUUAAAAAGCUCGUAGUUGAAUUUCGGGAUCAGAUUGUCGGUCGUGCCUCGGUACGCACUGGCAUUAUUGGUUCCUACCUUCUGAAGAACCGCGAUGUCAUUAAUUUGGUGUCGUGGGGAAUCAGGACUGUUACUUUGAAAAAAUUAGAGUGUUUAAAGCAGGCUUACGCUUGAAUACAUUAGCAUGGAAUAAUGAAAUAAGACGUUUGAUUCUAUUUUGUUGGUUUCUAGGAUUGACGUAAUGAUUAAUAGGGAUAGUUGGGGGCAUUAGUAUUCAAUUGUCAGAGGUGAAAUUCUUGGAUUUAUUGAAGACUAACUACUGCGAAAGCAUUUGCCAUGGAUGUUUUCAUUAAUCAAGAGCGAAGGAUAGGGGAUCGAAGACGAUCAGAUACUGUCGUAGUCUUAACCAUAAACUAUGCCGACUAGGGAUCGGAUGAUGUUAAUUUUUUAAUGACUCAUUCGGCGCCUUACGGGAAACCAAAGUGUUUGGGUUC